CUGAUGUGGGGGAUAACCAUUGGAAACGAUGGCUAAUACCGCAUGAUGCCUACGGGCCAAAGAGGGGGACCUUCGGGCCUCUCGCGUCAGGAUAUGCCUAGGUGGGAUUAGCUAGUUGGUGAGGUAAAGGCUCACCAAGGCGACGAUCCCUAGCUGGUCUGAGAGGAUGAUCAGCCACACUGGAACUGAGACACGGUCCAGACUCCUACGGGAGGCAGCAGUGGGGAAUAUUGCACAAUGGGCGCAAGCCUGA
rnacentral:rRNA from 1 species